AUUGAACGCUGGCGGCAGGCCUAACACAUGCAAGUCGAACGAGUGGCGGACGGGUGAGUAAUGUCUGGGAAACUGCCCGAUGGAGGGGGAUAACUACUGGAAACGGUAGCUAAUACCGCAUACCAUCAGAUGUGCCCAGAUGGGAUUAGCUAGUUGGUGGGGUAAAGGCCUACCAAGGCGACGAUCCGUAACUGGUCUGAGAGGAUGAUCAGGCACACUGGAACUGAGACACGGUCCAGACUCCUACGGGAGGCAGCAGUGGGGAAGAGUGCACAAUGGGCGCAAGCCUGAUGCAGCCAUGCCGCGUGUAUGAAGAAGGCCUUCGGGUUGUAAAGUACUUUCAGCGGGGAGGCGUUACCCGCAGAAGAAGCACCGGCUAACUCCGUGCCAGCAGCCGCGGUAAUUC
rnacentral:rRNA from 1 species